rnacentral:tRNA from 1 species
CUGAUGGCCGGUGGGCGGGUGCGCCGCGGGCUGGUGUCCCGCGGGUGAGGUGGGGUCGUCCGGCAUGGUUCGCUGCCUCCUCUCAGGC